GUGUCAGCAGCCGCGGUAAUACGAGAGGCCCAAACGUUAUUCGGAUUUACUGGGCUUAAAGAGUUCGUAGGCGGUUCGGUAAGUGAGGUGUGAAAGCCCUCGGCUCAACCGAGGAAUUGCGCUUCAAACUGCCGGGCUCGAGGGAGAUAGAGGUGAGCGGAACUGAUGGUGGAGCGGUGAAAUGCGUUGAUAUCAUCAGGAACACCAGAGGCGAAGGCGGCUCACUGGGUCUCUUCUGACGCUGAGGAACGAAAGCUAGGGGAGCAAACGGGAUUAGAUACCCCGGUAGUCCUAGCCGUAAACGAUGAGCACUGGACCGGAGCUCUGCACAGGGUUUCGGUCGUAGCGAAAGUGUUAAGUGCUCCGCCUGGGGAGUAUGGUCGCAAGGCUGAA
rnacentral:rRNA from 1 species